rnacentral:rRNA from 1 species
GACGAACGCUGGCGGCGUGCUUAACACAUGCAAGUCGAACGGUGAAGGGGCCUGCUUUUGUGGGCCCUGGAUGAGUGGCGAACGGGUGAGUAACACGUGAGUAACCCUCCCCCUUCUUCUGGAUAACCGCAUGAAAGUGUGGCUUAUACGGGAUAUUCUGGGUCUGUCGCAUGCUGGGGUUGGGGAAGGUUGGGCCGUUGGGUGUUGUUGGUGGGGGGUGGGGUUGGGGGCUAUCUGCUUGUUGGUGGGGGGAUGGCCUAGCAAGGCGGUGGCGGGGAGCCGGCCUGAGAGGGUGGACGGUCACACUGGGACUGAGACACGGCCCAGACUCCUACGGGAGGCAGCAGUGGGGAAUAGUGCACAAGGGGCGCAAGCCUGAUGCAGCGACGCCGCGUGAGGGAGGGAGGCCUUCGGGGUGUAAACCUCUUUCGCCAGUGAAGCAGGCCUGCUCCGUGUGGGUGGGUUGACGGUAGCUGGAGAAGAAGCGCCGGCUAACUACGUG